AGUGAACGCUGGCGGUAGGCCUAACACAUGCAAGUCGAACGGCAGCACAGUAAGAGCUUGCUCUUACGGGUGGCGAGUGGCGGACGGGUGAGGAAUACAUCGGAAUCUACUUUUUCGUGGGGGAUAACGUAGGGAAACUUACGCUAAUACCGCAUACUACCUACGGGUGAAAUCAGGGGAUCUUCGGACCUUGCGCGAUUGAAUGAGCCGAUGUCGGAUUAGCUAGUUGGCGGGGUAAAGGCCCACCAAGGCGACGAUCCGUAGCUGGUCUGAGAGGAUGAUCAGCCACACUGGAACUGAGACACGGUCCAGACUCCUACGGGAGGCAGCAGUGGGGAAUAUUGGACAAUGGGCGCAAGCCUGAUCCAGCAAUACCGCGUGGGUGAAGAAGGCAUUCGGGUUGUAAAGCCCUUUUGUUGGGAAAGAAAAGCAGCAGGUUAAUACCCCGCUGUUCUGACGGUACCCAAAGAAUAAGCACCGGCUAACUUCGUG
rnacentral:rRNA from 1 species